rnacentral:lncRNA from 1 species
GUUUAUUACCGGGCCUGGCGCGCAGUCGCCGCGAAACGCGGCGGGGGCGGCGGAGGUGAGGCGAGGUUGCCAGUAGGGGCCAGUCUUCCUGGGAGGCCCGGGGAGGUGCGGAGAGCGAAGCCCGGGCCUCGAAGACAGGAAGGAGGGAACGCGCUCCGCCGGGAGCGCCACUCGGGGCUCCAGCAGAGCGGCGGAAGCGGGGCGAAGGACUUUGUCCCGACCUCUUGGGCCGCAGGGUGUAGAUCAGCCCCCAUAGGGCGAUGGCGUGGGGUUCACUCUGCGCUGCCACCCUCGGCCAACUGGCUAGUGGACGCGAACCGUGGGCCCGAGGGGCGGGGGCGCUCCGAGCUCCAAGCCCGAACCCACACACGGGGCUGUCUUCCAAGUAAGACGUCUUUCCAUAGCCCAGAAAAAAACAGCCUUGGGAAGGGCCUCUUUCUGCCAAUCCAGUCACCUUCUCCCGGCCCCAGGACUCCAGCAGUGACCCUGGUACCUGCCUCCCUAAGGACCGUCAGCCUCCCACUGCUCUUCAGGCUUGGCGCGCUCCUCUCAGGCAGUAAACAGACAUCGGUGGCCUUCGAAAGCUCUCAGGACAGGUGGCCUUCGGCGCCGAGGAAGAGCAAGGCCCCUGCGAACGCCGUGCGUCCUUCCCCGCGCGGUGCGCUCCAGCAUCCGGGGACAGCCAGGCUGUGCUCACCGCGCCAGGACGUCCAGGAGCGCGCCCGCCUGCACCUUCACGCCUCUCCGUUCCCCGAAGAGUCUCCGAGCUGGAGCCACAAGCCCCACCAUUCCUCCCAGAGUCUUCGACCCGAGGUGAGGGACUGUGCCCGCGUGCCUUCCGCAGCGUUUACUGGGCUCACGCUCUGUGCCGGCACCUCUGGAGGUCGUACAGUGCUUUGCCCUGGAAGCACUCAGUUUGAAAAAGCCAGAUCACCUCUUGGUGAUGGUUACCACAGUCAUGGAGACUGGAUUGAUUAUUGGUGAAUUUACCAGACCAGGACAGCCAUCUCCCAAGUGUAAGAUGAUGUUGCUGCUGAUGAAAACUGUCCACUCAGGUAACUGUCUCAAUUCUUUGUGUUGACACAAUGUUUGAAGGCAGGAGAAGCUGUCUAUGAGAACAUCGCUUGAAACAUUGGUAGAAGCUGAUUGCUAAAGGAUUGCAUGAUUGUAUAAGGAAUUAAUCUUUUUUCUUUCUAAGAAGAAAGUUCACAACUAAAGUCUUUCAUACUUCAAUAGCAUCACCUUGAAACCCUCCUGAAAAUUAAGUAGUUAGAAGGGUCAGAAAAGGGAAAUUCUGGAUGGAGACUGAGUCAAAUUUUACUCAAACACAACUCUGACAAGGUAGAUGUAGGAGCAGUAAACCUAAUGGGAAACUGAGGCAGGGCAGCAGGAAGCAGAAAGCCCUCCCUGGAAGGGAACCAGGAGUGAUGCAGGAGUAGGCAGCCAGCC